GAUGAACGCUGGCGGCGUGCCUAAUACAUGCAAGUCGAGCGAACAGAUGAGGAGCUUGCUCCUCUGACGUUAGCGGCGGACGGGUGAGUAACACGUGGAUAACCUACCUAUAAGACUGGGAUAACUUCGGGAAACCGGAGCUAAUACCGGAUAAUAUAUUGAACCGCAUGGUUCAAUAGUGAAAGACGGUUUUGCUGUCACUUAUAGAUGGAUCCGCGCCGCAUUAGCUAGUUGGUAAGGUAACGGCUUACCAAGGCAACGAUGCGUAGCCGACCUGAGAGAGUGAUCGGCCACACUGGAACUGAGACACGGUCCAGACUCCUACGGGAGGCAGCAGUAGGGAAUCUUCCGCAAUGGGCGAAAGCCUGACGGAGCAACGCCGCGUGAGUGAUGAAGGUCUUCGGAUCGUAAAACUCUGUUAUUCGGGAAGAACAAAUGUGUAAGUAACUAUGCACGUCUUGACGGUACCUAAUCAGAAAGCCACGGCUAACUACGUG
rnacentral:rRNA from 1 species